AACGAACGCUGGCGGCGCGCCUAAUACAUGCAAGUCGAGCGAGAAGACGUAGCAAUACGUUUGUAAAGCGGCGAACGGGUGAGGAAUACAUGGGUAACCUACCCUCGAGUGGGGAAUAACUAGCCGAAAGGUUAGCUAAUACCGCGUACGCUCCUUGGACUUCGGUUCAGGGAGGAAAGCGAUACCGUGGGUAUCGCGCUCUUGGAUGGGCCCAUGUCCUAUCAGCUUGUUGGUGAGGUAACGGCUCACCAAGGCUUCGACGGGUAGCUGGUCUGAGAGGACGAUCAGCCACACUGGCACUGCGACACGGGCCAGACUCCUACGGGAGGCAGCAGUAAGGAAUAUUGCGCAAUGGGCGAAAGCCUGACGCAGCGACGCCGCGUGGGGGA
rnacentral:rRNA from 1 species